rnacentral:rRNA from 1 species
AUCAGGUAAAGCUGGGAACUCUGGGGAGACUGCCGGUGAUAAACCGGAGGAAGCGGGGAUGACGUCAAGUCCUCAUGGCCCUUACAUCCCGGGCUACACACGUGCUACAAUGGCAGGUACAGAGGGCUGCGAAGCCGCGAGGUGGAGCGAAUCCCAGAAAACCUGUCUCAGUCCGGAUUGAAGUCUGCAACUCGACUUCAUGAAGGCGGAAUCGCUAGUAACCGCGAAUCAGCAGGUCGCGGUGAAUACGUUCCCGGGCCUU